rnacentral:rRNA from 1 species
CCCUUAGAUGUCCUGGGCCGCACGCGCGCUACACUGAACGGAUCAGCGCGUUUUCCCUUCCCGAGAGGGACGGGUAACCUGCUGAGCCCCGUUCGUGGUAGGGAUCGGGGCUUGCAAUUAUUCCCCGUGAACCAGGAAUGCCCAGUAAGUGCAAGUCAUAAGCUUGCGUUGAUUACGUCCCUGCCCUUUGUACACACCGCCCGUCGCUCCUACCGAUUUCGGGUGGUCCGGUGAACCCUUUGGACCGGCCGCGGUCUCGUGCCGCAACCGGGAAGUCGAGUAAACCACAUCACCUAGAGGAAGGAGAANUCGUAACA